rnacentral:rRNA from 1 species
GGGGAAUUUUCCGCAAUGGGCGAAAGCCUGACGCAGCGACACCGCGUGGGGGAAGAAGGCCUCAGGGUUGUAAACCCCUUUUCUGGGGGAAGAGAUAGGACGGUACCUCAGGAAUAAGCAUCGGCUAACUACGUGCCAGCAGCCGCGGUAAUACGUAGGAUGCAAGCGUUGUCCGGAUUUACUGGGCGUAAAGGGUGUGUAGGCGGCAUGGUAAGUCUCAUGUGAAAUCUCCCGGCUCAACUGGGAGGGGUCAUGGGAUACUGCCAAGCUGGAGGGCAGCAGAGGAAAGCGGAAUUCCGGGAGUAGUGGUGGAAUGCGUAGAUACCCGGAGGAACACCAGAGGCGAAGGCGGCUUUCUGGGCUGUACCUGACGCUGAGACACGAAAGCGCGGGGAGCAAACAGGAUUAGAUACCCUGGUAGUCCGCGCCGUAAACGAUGGACGCUAGGUGUGUGGGGGGCUCAACCCCCUGCGUGCCGGAGCUAACGCGGUAAGCGUCCCGCCUGGGGACUACGGUCGCAAGACUAAAACUCAAAGGAAUUGACGGGUGCCCGCACAAGCAGCGGAGCGCGUGGUUCAAUUCGAGGCUACGCGAAGAACCUUACCGGGGUUUGACAUUACACGGCUAACCCGCGAAAUCGGGCGUUCCUUCGGGACCGUGUAACAGGUGCUGCAUGGCUGUCGUCAGCUCGUGCCGUGAGGUGUUGGGUUAAGUCCCGCAACGAGCGCAACCCUCGACGCUAGUUGUAUGUGUCUAGCGUGACUGCCGCGGACAACGCGGAGGAAGGUGGGGAUGAUGUCAAGUCCGCAUGGCCCUUAUAUCCCGGGCUACACACACGCUACAAUGGCCGGUACAACGGGCAGCAACCUGGCGACAGGAAGCGAAUCCCUUAAAGCCGGCCUCAGUUCGGAUUGCAGGCUGCAACUCGCCUGCAUGAACGUGGAGCUGCUAGUAACCGCAGGUCAGCACACUGCGGUGAAUACGUUCCCGGGCCUUGUACACACCGCCCGU